AGAAAGAGAGCAAGCAAGGUCGAGCAAGCAAAAGAUCAAGGGCAAGCUCAAAUCUUUAGGGCUCUUGCAUAGCUGGAAGAAGCUGCGGCCGUUGUGUAAGUCCACCAGGUGGGGAAGAGGCUUCUCCGUGCUCCCACAGGGAAGAAGCUGCGGCCAUUGCACAUGUCCACCAGGUUGAGAAGAAGCCCCAGGUUAUGCUGAUUGUUAAGUUCCAGGAGUUCCCCUCACAAUGUUCUUGUUCUCGAGUGAGUGAAGUCUUCUAUUUGAAGGGGGUGUGGAGGAGAUCAUAAAGCAAUAUGGUGAGCUCAAAUUCAAACCCAAGAGAAACAAUCAAUAUGACAACAAUGUUGAGGAUGAAUACAGCCUGGGUGAGCACCCAAAUAAGCAGCAAGUGAAAUACAAGAUGACCAAGAGAUGUGACCUCUCAAAAGAAGCUCGAGCUCUCCCAGCGAAGAAGAAUAAGAAGUAAUGAUCCUGUAUUUGUUCUUGAAGCCAACCAUCUUGCAUUUUUGGGCAUCUUGGGCAUCAAAAAAGCAUAUGUCGAACACUGGUGUAAAGGUGCACUCGGCCACAAUCAACACGGGUGCCAUCGCUGGCUUCACUGUGAGACUGACCUGCGUUGAAUGAAGUGGACCCGACUGACUGACGGGUUGACUGGGAGUCACAGCAUUGUCCUUCACUGCUGCGUAUGUCUAGCAUCCAUCAAUCACUAUUGUUUGGAAGAGAAUUAAUCUUCACGAUACAGAUUUGAUCCGUG